AUUUAAGUAAUUUAAAAUUUAAAAUAUUGAUAUGUGAAAUCAAAAAUAUAAUUUAUAAUUAUCUUAAAUA
rnacentral:tRNA from 1 species